CACCGCGGUUAAACGAGAGGCCCUAGUUAAUAGUAUUACGGCGUAAAGGGUGGUUAAGGAGAGCAAAAUAAUAAAGCCAAAUGGCCCUUUGGCCGUCAUACGCUUCUAGGUGUCCGAAGCCCAACCACACGAAAGUAGCUUUAGCAAAAACCACCUGACUCCACGAAAACUGAGAAACAAACUGGGAUUAGAUACCCCACUAUGCUCAGCCAUAAACCUAGAUGUCCAACUACAAUUAGACAUCCGCCAGGGUACUACGAGCAUUAGCUUGAAACCCAAAGGACCUGACGGUGCCUUAGACCCCCCUAGAGGAGCCUGUUCUAGAACCGAUAACCCCCGUUAAACCUCACCACUUCUAGCCACCCCAGCCUAUAUACCGCCGUCGCCAGCUUACCCUGUGAAGGUAAUAAAAGUAAGCAAAAUGGGCAAAACCCAGAACGUCAGGUCGAGGUGUAGCGUACGAAGUGGGAAGAAAUGGGCUACAUUUUCUAUCAUAGAACACUACGAAUAUGCAACAUGAAAUAGUGCUUGAAGGAGGAUUUAGUAGUAAAAAGGAAGCAGAGUGUCCUUUUGAACCCGGCUCUAAGGCGCGUACACACCGCCCGUCACUCUCCCCUGUCAAAACGCAACAAAGAUAUAUAACGAAAAAGCACUGACAAGGGGAGGCAAGUCGUAACAUGGUAAGUGUACCGGAAGGUGCACUUGGAUUAAACCCAGGGCGUGGCUGAG
rnacentral:rRNA from 1 species